CCUACGGGAGGCAGCAGUGGGGAAUAUUGCGCAAUGGGCGGAAGCCUGACGCAGCGACGCCGCGUGGGGGAUGACGGCCUUCGGGUUGUAAACCUCUUUCAGCAGGGACGAAGCGAGAGUGACGGUACCUGCAGAAGAAGCACCGGCCAACUACGUGCCAGCAGCCGCGGUAAUACGUAGGGUGCAAGCGUUGUCCGGAAUUAUUGGGCGUAAAGAGCUCGUAGGCGGUUCGUCGCGUCGGCUGUGAAAUCCCGAGGCUCAACCUCGGGCCUGCAGUCGAUACGGGCGGACUUGAGUUCGGCAGGGGAGACUGGAAUUCCUGGUGUAGCGGUGAAAUGCGCAGAUAUCAGGAGGAACACCGGUGGCGAAGGCGGGUCUCUGGGCCGAAACUGACGCUGAGGAGCGAAAGCGUGGGGAGCGAACAGGAUUAGAUACCCUGGUAGUCCACGCCGUAAACGUUGGGCGCUAGGUGUGGGGCUCAUUCCACGAGUUCCGUGCCGCAGCUAACGCAUUAAGCGCCCCGCCUGGGGAGUACGGCCGCAAGGCUAAAACUCAAAGGAAUUGACGGGGGCCCGCACAAGCGGCGGAGCAUGUUGCUUAAUUCGAUGCAACGCGAAGAACCUUAC
rnacentral:rRNA from 1 species